CGAAGAUAAGACGGAUUAGCGGCGGACGGGUGAGUAACACGUGAGUAACCUGCCUUUUACACAGGGAUAGCCUCGGGAAACCGGGAUUAAAACCUGAUGAAACUAUCAAAUCACAUGAUUAAGAAAGUUAAAACUCCGGUGGUAAAAGAUGGACUCGCGUCCCAUUAGCUAGUUGGUGAAGGUAACGGCCCACCAAGGCAACGAUGGGUAGCCGGCCUGAGAGGGUGAACGGCCACAUUGGAACUGAGAAACGGUCCAAACUCCUACGGGAGGCAGCAGCC
rnacentral:rRNA from 1 species